UGCAAAGUGCCCAGACCCUUCAGGAAUGA
rnacentral:piRNA from 1 species